rnacentral:siRNA from 1 species
AAGGUAGCUUUCAGCUUUUGUGUA